UACGUAGGGUGCAAGCGUUGUCCGGAAUUAUUGGGCGUAAAGAGCUCGUAGGCGGUCUGUCGCGUCUGCUGUGAAAACUCAGGGCUUAACCCUGAGCUUGCAGUGGGUACGGGCAGACUAGAGUGCGGUAGGGGGAGACUGGAAUUCCUGGUGUAGCGGUGAAAUGCGCAGAUAUCAGGAGGAACACCGGUGGCGAAGGCGGGGUCUCUGGGCCGUAACUGACGCUGGAGGAGCGAAAGCCAUGGGGAGCGAACAGG
rnacentral:rRNA from 1 species